UAGUCCACGCCGUAAACGAUGAUUACUCGCUGUAGGCGAUACACAGUCUGUGGCUAAGCGAAAGUUUUAAGUAAUCCACCUGGGGAGUACGAUCGCAAGAUUGAAACUCAAAGGAAUUGACGGGGGCCCGCACAAGCGGAGGAACAUGUGGUUUAAUUCGAUGAUACGCGAGGAACCUUACCUGGACUUAAAUGUACGUUGCAUAGAUUGGAGACAGUCUUUUCUUCGGACUACGUACAAGGUGCUGCAUGGUUGUCGUCAGCUCGUGCCGUGAGGUGUCGGGUUAAGUCCCAUAACGAGCGCAACCCCUAUCCUUAGUUGCCAGCGGGUGAUGCCGGGGACUCUGAGGAGACUGCCACCGUAAGGUGUGAGGAAGGUGGGGAUGACGUCAAAUCAGCACGGCCCUUAUGUCCAGGGCUACGCACGUGUUACAAUGGACGGUACAAAGGGCAGCUACCUGGCGACAGGAUGCUAAUCUCUAAAGACAUCUCAGUUCGAUUGGUCU
rnacentral:rRNA from 1 species